ACGCGAAGAACCUUACCAGCUCUUGACAUCUUCAGACAACNCNAGAGAUAGAGCGUUCCCUUCGGGGACAGAAUGACAGGUGGUGCAUGGUUGUCGUCAGCUCGUGUCGUGAGAUGUUGGGUUAAGUCCCGUAACGAGCGCAACCCUUGUUGUUAGUUGCCAGCAUUAAGUUGGGCACUUUAACGAGACUGCCGGUGAUAAACCGGAGGAAGGCGGGGAUGACGUCAAAUCAUCAUGCCCCUUAUGAGCUGGGCUACACACGUGCUACAAUGGAUGGUACAACGAGCAGCGAUCCCGCAAGGGCUAGCUAAUCUUUCAAAGCCAUUCUCAGUUCGGAUUGCACUCUGCAACUCGAGUGCAUGAAGUCGGAAUCGCUAGUAAUCGCGAAUCAGAAUGUCGCGGUGAAUCCGUUCCCGGGUCUUGUACACACCGCCCGUCACACCACGAGAGUUUGAAACACCCGAAGUCGGCCGGCCAACCCUAUGG
rnacentral:rRNA from 1 species